CUGGUAGUGUCGGCUGAGGCACAGUAAACACAGUCGGCCCGAUCCUGGCUGAGUGCUGCCACUGUCGGCGGAGUUUCAGGUCGGCUGAGGCACUGUCCCCUUGAAUGGGCCGACACUGACACGCAGUAGUUGGGCUGAUUACGGAGUGUCUUAUUUGGCCCGAUUGGGGUUUGAUGGGCUACUGCCAGUUUUCGAAUCAAUCUCGGUAGACGGAUUUCAUACAGUGUGUGGCCCGAUACUUCAGGAACGAACAAUGAUCAGUAUCGCGGCUGUUGGCGACAAAAAUGAAACAUUUAGCGACAGCCGGACGCUAAACGUACAUGGCCCAAUUCUGUAAAGUGACUGUCGGCCCAUUACAUGUGGAAGAGCCACGAGCAGAGCAACUGUUCAGUUUGAAACCAGGACGGCGCGAAACUGUCUCGUUUUGGACACUGCCUGUGAAUCCAGGCCACACUGACCAGAGACCUGCACUCCUUUGGAAAAAAAAGGCUACCCGUGUAUACAUGUGUGAACCAUUUCUUGUGUUGGAAAAACAGGAGACCUGAAGAGCUCUUGAUGCUUUUGGUUUGCCUCAUCCAUUAUGUCAGCAAAGAACAGGAGUGGGCAGGAAACAUGCACUGUUGAAAACAUGGCCAACCAACUGGAGCACCCACAAGGCUCUUGUGAAGGAAGUCCACAAGCCUUUGUGCUUCAGUUUGGAGACACCCCCGGCUGGUAGUGCUGCUGAAACUGGUGGAGGCAACAAUGAAGCGGCAACAGAAAGAGAAGGCAGGUGGCAAAGGUUGCUGCUAUUGAAAAAUACUUUGAGAGUGAGUGUGUGUGCAUGUAUGUAGCUGGGUAGGUCAUGGUACAUGGUACAAAAAUACAGAAUUUAAAGCACUAGCACAACACUUAACUCACAACCCACAACUACUGACAAUGGAAU